AUUUAAAUAGUUUAAUUUUAAAAUAAAGAUUUGUGGUGUCUUAGAUGUUUAAUUACUUUAAAUU
rnacentral:tRNA from 1 species